GGGGGCGACUUGGUUUCGACGCGGGUAUCAAAGUUUGCGGUGCAUGCCGAGAGGGUAGUGACUCUCGUAAAACAAUCGCUGUAACUUUUUAUAGUUGCCAACGACGAAAACUACGCACUAGCGGCCUAAAAAACCCGCUUACGUCCAUGAUUCGUUUCUUGCUAGGAGAAAUGGACGGCAAAACAGCAAGAUCGCGCGGAUGCCUCGCCCGGGGCUGAACCGUUAAAACCAAUCGGGAUCGCUGAUCGCACCCUGACCGUCGGGUCGCAGGAGGCUAAAUCAAUAGACGGACUCUAAGCAUGUAGAGCCAAUAAUGGCGAGCCAGCGGACGCGGGUUCAACUCCCGCCGCCUCCACCA
rnacentral:tmRNA from 1 species